ACCUCGGAUCAGGUAGGAGUAC
rnacentral:rRNA from 1 species